GAGGAAGGUGGGGAUGACGUCAAAUCAGCACGGCCCUUACGUCUGGGGCUACACACGUGUUACAAUGGGGGGUACAGAAGGCAGCUACACGGCGACGUGAUGCUAAUCCCGAAAGCCUCUCUCAGUUCGGAUUGGAGUCUGCAACCCGACUCCAUGAAGCUGGAUUCGCUAGUAAUCGCGCAUCAGCCACGGCGCGGUGAAUACGUUCCCGGGCCUUGUACACACCGCCCGUCAAGCCAUGAAAGCCGGGGGUACCUGAAGUGCGUAACCGCAAGGAGCGCCCUAGGGUAAAACUGGUGAUUGGGGCUAAGUCGUAACAAGGU
rnacentral:rRNA from 1 species